ACAAAUGCUAGCCCAAUCCACAUCCAAUAAAUUACAAUCAAUUAUAAAAUAAAACAUUCACUAAUCUAAAGUAUAGGCGAUAGAAAUUACAUUAUGGCGCUAUAGAAAUAGUACCGUAAGGGAAAGAUGAAAGAUAAAUUACUGUACAAAAUAGCAAAGAUUAACACUUAUACCUUUUGCAUAAUGAACUAGCCAGAAAUUAUCUAACAAAGAGAACUUAAGCUAGAAACCCCGAAACUAGACGAGCUACCUUCGAGCAGUUUAAAGAACUAACUCAUCUAUGUGGCAAAAUAGUGAGAAGACUUGAAGGUAGAGGUGAAAAGCCUAACGAGCCUAGUGAUAGCUGGUUGUCCAAAAAAUGAAUCUAAGUUCAACUUGAAGUAUACAUAAUAAGCCCAAAAACUAUAAUGAAAUCUUCAAGUAUAGUCUAAAAAGGUACAGCUUUUUAGAUAAAGGUUUUAAGCCUUUAUUAGAGAGUAAGCAAUUGAAUAUCCAUAGUAGGCUUUAAAGCAGCCAUCAAUUAAGAAAGCGUUCAAGCUCAACAGUAAAAUAUAAAUAAUUUCAUAAAGCAAGCCCAACUCCUAAUCUAAUAUUGGACUAAUCUAUCAAUAAAUAGAAGAAAUACUGCUAGUAUGAGUAACAAGAUAUUAAUCUCCUUGCAUAAGCUUAUAUCAGGACGGAUGACCCACUGAUAAUUAACAACAAGACAAAUAUAAUCUAAAUAUUAAUAAUUUGCCUAACAAAUUGUUAACCCAACACAGGCAUGCACAACAGAGGAAAGAUUAAAACAAAUGAAAGGAACUCGGCAAACACAAGCCCCGCCUGUUUACCAAAAACAUCACCUCUAGCAUAACCAGUAUUAGAGGCACUGCCUGCCCAGUGACCAUGUUAAACGGCCGCGGUAUUCUGACCGUGCAAAGGUAGCAUAAUCACUUGUUCUCUAAAUAAGGACUAGUAUGAAUGGCUAAACGAGGGCUUUACUGUCUCUCAUUUGUAAUCAGUGAAAUUGACCUUCCCGUGAAGAGGCGGGAAUAAUAAAAUAAGACGAGAAGACCCUAUGGAGCUUUAAUUAUAAGCUUAAAAUUGCUUGACUCUAACUCCAAGGAGAUAAACACUAAUUAUAUAAGCAACUAAUUUUGAUUGGGGUGAUCUCGGAGAAAAAAAUAACCUCCGAGCGGUUUAAAUCCAGACCUACAAGUCUAAAAACCCGUAAAUUGAUCCAAUUUUUGAUCAACGGAACAAGUUACCCUAGGGAUAACAGCGCAAUCCUAUUCAAGAGUCCCUAUCGACAAUAGGGUUUACGACCUCGAUGUUGGAUCAGGACAUCCCAAUGGUGUAGCCGCUAUUAAUGGUUCGUUUGUUCAACGAUUAAAGUCCUACGUGAUCUGAGUUCAGACCGGAGUAAUCCAGGUCGGUUUCUAUCUAUUUAUAUAUUUCUCCUAGUACGAAAGGACAAGAGAAGUAGGGCUCACUUUACAAAAGCGCCCUCGAAUUAAUAUAUGAUAACCUCUUAAUUUAAUUAAUUCAUACACACCCAGUUCUAGACACAGAAUUA
rnacentral:rRNA from 1 species